UACUUAUGGUGCGAGCGUGAAUCGGAAUUACUGGGCGUAAAGCGUGCGCAGGCGGAUUGUUAAGCAAGACGUGAAAUCCCCGGGCUUAACCUGGGAAUGGCGUUUUGAACUGGCAGUCUAGAGUGUGUCAGAGGGGGGUAGAAUUCCACGUGUAGCAGUGAAAUGCGUAGAGAUGUGGAGGAAUACCAAUGGCGAAGGCAGCCCCCUGGGAUAACACUGACGCUCAUGUACGAAAGCGUGGGUAGCACACAGGAUUCGAUACCCGGGUAGUCC
rnacentral:rRNA from 1 species